rnacentral:tRNA from 1 species
AGAUAUGUAAGCUAAACUUAAGCUAUUGGAUUCAUACUUCAAUUAUAGAUCAUCCUAAUCUCUUAUCUA